rnacentral:rRNA from 1 species
AUUGAACGCUGCGGCAGGCCUAACACCUGCAAGUCGAGCGAGCGGCGGACGGGGGAGUAAUGUCUGGGAAACUGCCUGAUGGAGGGGGAUAACUACUGGAAACGGUAGCUAAUACCGCAUACCAUCAGAUGUGCCCAGAUGGGAUUAGCGAGUAGGUGGGGUAAUGGCCCACCUAGGGGACGAUCCCUAGCUGGUCUGAGAGGAUGACCAGCAACACUGGAACUGGGAAACGCGCCGGACUCCUACGGGAGGCAGCAGUGGGGAAUAUUGCACAAUGGGCGCAAGCCUGAUGCAGCCAUGCCUCGUGUGUGAAGAAGGCCUUCGGGUUGUAAAGCACGUUCAGCGGGGAGGCGUUACCCGCAGAAGAAGCACCGGCUAACUCCGUGCCAGCAGCCGCGGUAAUAC